GAGAUGAUGCACAAGGAGGUUGCCGCCGGUCAGAGGAGGAGGGCGAGAAGGCUGGAGAGCCGAGGCAGAGGCUUACAGGGAAGAGAAGAAACGACACCUUAUACAUACAGGAUACCCGCUCCCAGGUGCCAGGAGGACAGCCGGGGCUGACGGAGGUAUGCUCGGAUCACUUAUAGAGAUCUGGAGAGGAAAGUUUGUUCCUUCCUUACAAGAGCCAUAUAAACAAUAAGGAAAAGCUCUUUCCUAGCAUAAGGUGAAUCUUGUAUAGUUUAAUUUGGGUAUAUUUUCUUAUAAAUGUGUAUUGUUGCAUACAUAAAUUGUCUCAGUUAGACGAACAAUUUUUUAUUUAGCGGUGACAUACUUGGGACACCAAGAAUAGGAUUGCGGCGGGGUUGGCCAAAGGACUGCACUACUUGCACUUUUUGUACAGCCCAGGAUACCAUAUUGCAACCUAAGGCCAUUGGUGCAGCCCGGCACGUUCGAUCGCCGCGCGGAGCAACUAGCCGCGACCAGAGCCAAGGUGAGCUAUCGAGUGUGCUCUGCCAGACGGCGGCAGCCCGGGCGGCGGGCUUCGCUGUUUUCCAACAAGUUGCGAGUGGAGUACUACUACUGUUUGCCUGCCUGCCUGACACAGCUACAACCUGCCGCGGCACGCAGCACGGCAGGAGUGGACGAUGCACACAGGAUUGUUGCAGAAGACGGGCGUGCAGGGGAUCGUCCAGCUUUCCCGUUUCCCCCGGCUGCAUCCCAUUAAUGGCAAGUGCACGUCCCGGGAUGGAGUAUGAACCGGACAAACACAACAUUCCAAGGGAAAGGAUACUGUAGCACGUACGGACGAACAAACCAUCAUCAGGGGGCAUUUCCUAUUUGACGCUGCAGGGGCCCGUUACAGUGCAAUUUGCAAACGAACGCCCGCAGCAGUCCAAACUGGGCCGGCACAUUCUAUUUUUUCAUUCUUGUUUUUCUUGUUUUUUGAAAGGUCAAAAAAGAGCGCCGGGGAUGGAGUAUGAACUGGACAAACACAACGUUC